AGAAUCAUCUCUAAGAACCAGGUUAGAUAUUGGGGAGAAGAAGAUGGGUAUUUGGUUGAAGAAGUGGCCCAGGAACUACAAAGCUGCCUUGAAGAAGAGGAAACUCAAUACAGGGAAGUUUGGAUGUAUGAAAUUAUGGGAAAAUAUAACUUUAC